AUAAUUUCUGAAUCACCCCCUUCUGACAUGUCUUGGCAACACUAUAUUUUUUUUAUAGUUCAAUCAAAGCAAGCUUUGUGUUAACAGUUAUUAAAUGUCCGAAAUUUUCACUCGUGUCUUGAGUCUCAGGUUGACAAGUUGGAAGUUCAAAGUGGCUAACCAUGGACAAUAAUACAAAUAGACUUGAUACCAAGUUAUGUUCGGUAAAAUGGUUUAUUGAAGAGAUUUUAGUGGGAGACAUGCAACUGAUCACCAUACAACAACACGAAGCAAGUGAAUAGAAUUGUGCCAAAAUUAUUUGAAGAACCUUUGUUAAAUUCAAUAAAGAACUCAUACUCAAA